AGUUGUGGCGGGAAUUAACCCCUGCCGUGACGUAGCAAACGCGUUAAGUGCUCCGCCUGGGGAGUACGGUCGCAAGACUAAAACUCAAAGGAAUUGACGGGGGCCGCACAAGCGGUGGAUCAUGUGGUUUAAUUCGAAGCAACGCGCAGAACCUUACCUGGGUUUGAAAUCCUACGAAUCCUGCAGAGAUGUGGGAGUGCUUCGGGGAAUGUAGUGACAGGUGCUGCAUGGCUGUCGUCAGCUCGUGUUGUGAAAUGUUGGGUUAAGUCUCGCAACGAGCGCAACCCCUGUUCUUAGUUGCCAGCAUUAAGUUGGGCACUCUAAGGAGACUGCCAGGGUUAACCUGGAGGAAGGUGGGGAUGACGUCAAGUCCUCAUGGCCCUUAUGUCCAGGGCUACACACGUGAUACAAUGGUAAGUAUAGAGGGAUGCAAACCUGUGAGGGGGAGCCAAUCUAAAAAAGCUUAUCUCAGUCCGGAUUGAAGUCUGCAACUCGACUUCAUGAAGUUGGAAUCGCUAGUAAUCGCAGAUCAGCACGCUGCGGUGAAUACGUUCCCGGGCCUUGUACACACCCCC
rnacentral:rRNA from 1 species